AUACGGAGGGUGCGAGCGUUAAUCGGAAUUACUGGGCGUAAAGCGUACGUAGGCGGUUUGCUAAGUCAGAUGUGAAAGCCCCGGGCUUAACCUGGGAACUGCAUUUGAUACUGGCAGACUAGAGUAUGCUAGAGGGGGGUAGAAUUCCUGGUGUAGCGGUGAAAUGCGUAGACAUCAGGAGGAAUACCAGUGGCGAAGGCGGCCCCCUGGAUCAAUACUGACGCUGAGGUACGAAAGCGUGGGGGCGAACAGGAUUAGAAACCCCAGUAGUCC
rnacentral:rRNA from 1 species